UAUUAGAAAUGGGCUAGUCCAGGAGCGAGAAUUAGCCUGUAAGGGAUAGAGUUCAUGGGCCAAGCAGUUCUUUAAAUGAAUACAGUUUGUGUGUUGUUAUUUUGGGCAUGAGCUAGCCAAGCGGCCGGGGUGUUGGGGACGCAGCCCCGCCGCUCAUAUUUCAACAAUUAAUCAAUGUUUUUGCAAGCUAUUUUUUCUAUGCUUUCCUUUUGCUUUUAAUUUUUCUUUUGUUGUCACUUUCCAAAUUAAUACUCCUUUUGAAACUCUGAAGUAGAAUACUUGGUGGCAUAGUCAUUUUUUCUGUUUUCUUCUGAGCAUUGUGAGAGCUUCCCCAGUCCUCAGUUCUGGGGUUUCUGGAGACUGGCAUCUUAUGUACAGUGAAGUCAGGAUUAAAGGAAAGCACUGCUUCACUCCAGCUAUCCUGGAGCUGACUGGGUCCCCAAGGCCACUUAAGACCACAGCUGUGCAAAUAGCCAGACCAAAUGCUGGUAAGAAGCAAGGAGGAAUCUCCUCUGGUGACAGUCUCUGUCUGAAUUCAUCUCCUAAAAAAGAUGCCAGCUAGAAGCAAUGUUGAAGCCGUGAUCCAUGCUGCUGCCAGAAAUCAUGUAGAAGUAUAUGAUACGUGCUGCUGCUGAGCGCUAGGGGCAAGUAAUCAAUGGUAUAGAUGACUGCAGAUUCAUAACUGAGGACGAGAGACACGGAAGUCUUUUGUGACAUCUCUACCUAAAAGAAACAGCUCAGACAAGAAGCUAUUGAAAAGAGUCCUUGAAAACUGUGAUAAAAAUGCUGAAGUAUAGUUCUUCAGAGUUGAUGAUCUCUGGCAGAGCUCAAUUCAGGGAAACCAAUCUGUAAGUAGUUGAUUGGCUCCUAUUGGCCUCUUCCUAGUCGUGUCCAUCCUCCCAUACAAGAAAAACCCUGUUCUGGGCCAGUAAUAUGGUUCAGUGACUACUCGCCACACAAGCCUGACAACGGGAAUUUGAACCCUGGGACCCACAUAAACGUCAAAGAAGAUAGUCCACAGAGCUGUCCUCUGACCUCCUCUUGGAGGAGCUGCUUAUUCAUCUCUGCCAUCCGGUUAGCUUAGCCCUGAAAUAACCACACAGAAAUUGUAUUAAUUUCAAGAAGUCCUUGUUUUUUACUGCUGAGUAGUACUCUAAUAUGUAUAUAUUCCAUACUUUCUCCAUCCAUUCUUCCAUUGAAGGGCAUCUAGGUUGUUUCCAGGUUCUGGCUAUUACAAACAAUGUUGCUAUGAACAUAGUUGAGCAUAUACUUUUGUUGUAUGAUAGGGCCUCUCUUGGGUAUAUUCCCAAGAGUGGUAUUGCUGGGUCCAGGGGUAGGUUGAUCCUGAAUUUCCUGAGAAACUGCCACACUGCUUUCCAAAGUGGUUGCACAAGUUUGCAUUCCAUUGAAGUUUGCAUACUAAUGGAUGGAAAUAGAAAACACUAUCCUGAGUGAGGUAAGCCAGAUCCAAAAAGAGGAACAUGGGAUGUACUCAUAUUUGGUUUCUAGCCAUAAAUAAAGGACAUUGAGCGUAGAAUUAGUGAUCCUAGAGAAGCUAAAUAAGAAGGAGAACCCAAAGAAAAACAUAUAAGCAUCCUCCUGAAUAUUAACCUUCAUCAGGCGAUGAAAGGAGACAGAGACAGAGACCCACAUUGGAGCACCGGACUGAAACCUCAAGGUCCAAAUCAGAAGCAGAAGGAGAGAGAGCUCGAGCAAGGAACUCAGGACGGUGAGGGGUGCACCCACACAUUGAGACAAUGGGAUGUUCUAUCGGGAACUCACCAAGGCCAGCUGGCCCGGGUCUGAAAAAGCAUGGGAUAAAACUGGACUUGCUGAACAUAGUGGACAAUGAGGACUACUGAGAACUCAAGAACAAUGGCAAUGGGUUUUUGAUUCUAUUGCAUGUACUGGCUAUGUGGGAGCCUAGGCAGUUUGGAUGCUCACCUUACUAGACCUGGAUUGAGGUGGGUGGUCCUUGGACUUCCCACAGGUCAGGGAACCCUGAUUGUUCUUUGGGCUGAUGAGGAGGGGGA